GAAACACACUGUUAGCAUGAAAUAUGGAGUGAAGUUAGGAACACCUCGCGAGUACUACAAUGAGGAUCACAGACCGACACAUUUCCUGGAAUUCAGUAAUAUGGAGGAAGGUGAUACUGCUGAGGCAGAUCGAGAGGACACAUUUACAUAAUAUACUGCUAUCAUUUCCAAUCAGAAUGGUUACUUUUUGUGUUCUUGUAUUGUUUAAGCUGUAACAGAGAGUGAGUGUAGUGGCGGAUGGAACAAAGUUGUAAAUAUAUGAAAAAUGAUAUUGUAGCUGUAUACUUUUUAUCGAGGAUGAGCCUCUGUUAGCUUAGCUGGUAUAGAAUUUUACUAUUUAGCUGGGCUCUGCUUGUUUGCAGUGAAACAAACAGAUGCUUGUACAUUAGAGGAAGUAAAAUUGUGUUUUGGGUAUUC
rnacentral:misc_RNA from 1 species